rnacentral:rRNA from 1 species
AUGAACCAAACGCUUCAGCACCACACAAGCCUGGCCAGGCAGAAAUAUUUUACAUCUCACGUCCACACCAGGCAGUACCGGCCAUCAAGGCAUGAGGAAAAUAGAUCAAGGGCGCCCCUCUGGCUUUACCUCGUCGCGCUCUUCCUCCUCAUCGCGCUCCUCCUUGUCUUCACCGUCUCCGCCUUCGUUGUCACCAACCGCGGCGCCGGCUCCAUCGUCUCUGGGCGCGGGUACAGGGAGUACCGCCUCGGGGAGUACUCCACCUGGCUGCAGCGCCGGGUCAAGAGCGCCAGCAACUGGGCCAAGAUCCGCAGAUGCCUCCGCGACGGCGGCGUCUGCCAGAGGUUCGGCGCCAGGGGGGAGUCACUGCAGCAGUUCGUCACCAACAACCUCUCCCCGAUUCAGUUUGAAUUAUUGGAGGAUGACCAUGAUGAAACUAUGAUGCAAUAUGGUAGUGAUGAUGAAGAUCACACUGCGAGCCUCUCUGCUCUCCCUCGCUCCGAUCUGGUGGAGCCACCGCCCCCAACCUCUCUCUCCGACUUCGAUCCGCCGCCGCCUCCAACCGCUCUCACCCCACUCUUCUUCCCUUCCUCCUCGGGCAGCCCAGUCAUCGUCGCGACCGAGGACCAGAGACGCGGACCGUCGUUGGUGCCUGCGCUUGGGAGAAUUGAGGGCUGGCUCACGCCAACGCGGCGCCGUGGCGAGAUCCGGCCGGGCGCCACGUCGCUGGACCCCUCCUGGCGCGGCAGAUCUGGCCAGCGUAGGGUAGGUGUCGGCCCACCGCCGAUCCGCCCCGGCGCCUCCGCGGCCAGGCGGCAGCGAGCAGAUCUGGGUCGGGUCCCCGCCUAG